AGUGGGAGGUCGCAGGGCUGGCGGGGCAGGGAGAGCGCGAGCAGAAGAAAAGAAGAAACAAUGACAAGGAGAAACAGUUUGUGGCUGCAGCGGCCUUCCAGGGUCCCGCCAGACUUGAGCUCGUAGAACCCUGAAGCAGGCCCGGAAGGUAGCGAGUCUCCUUUCUCAGAAAGCUGGCGCCCAGAGAGAGCCCCUGGCAGGUCGCUUGCUCGCCCUGAAUCUCUAGUGCCCCUCAGCAAUGAGCAGAGAAGCGUCUGGAAGGCUUCGCCGAGGAGGUGGCUCUGGCUCAGUCCAUCACGCAGCCUUGUGACCCAGCUUGUAACAUUCCAAGCUGUUAUCUAAGCUUUCUGUUGUCCUUUAGUUUCUUGCCCAGCGUGACUGGUCUCACUGACUAGUUAGCUGUUCUGGGGGCAGAACCCACUCGAAAGCCUCGUACCUCCCAGGCCCCUCGGCAUAUUGUGGUUCAUUCAUCCAGUCCCCAAAUGUUUAGGGGCAGUCUCCACUAAGCCAGGCUGGGACCUAGUGGAGAACCUGGUGGGCUUGCCCUUCCCAAAUGCUCCCAGCUCAAGACCACCAGGUGGAGAAGCAGACAGGGACACAGGCAGCGACAAAUCUAUGGGUAAGAGUUGUAACAGGGGAUAAGAGGCACCUGACAUGGGUUGGGGCGCAGACUCAGAAAGUCUCGAACAAAGGGAGCCAAGCCAUCCACAGGAUGCGUGCCCUGAGUCACGCAGGGUCCAGGCAUAGGGAGCUGCCAGAGACCUGGUGGCUGGAGAUCGUGGUGCCCGCAGAAAGUUUCAGGCAACUACAUCUGGCUGUACUGUGGCAGUUGGAGAGAGGGGCAAGAGAUGGGGCUGGAAAGGCCAGAUCUCCCAGAGUCUUGUAAGACCGUAAGGAGGAAGCCACGGACACGCGUUGAGAUGGAGAGUGUCCUGGUCAGAUUUGCUUUAUUUUUUAUUUAUUUAUUUUUUUUUGAGACGGAGUUUCGCUCUUUUUGCCCAGGCUGGAGUGCAGUGGUGCAAUUUCCACUCACUGCAACCUCCGCCUCCUGGGUUCAAGCGAUUCUCCUGCCUCAGCCUCCUAAGUAGCUGGGAUUACAGGUGCGCGCCGCCACGCCCGGCUAAUUUUGUAUUUGUAGUACAGACCGGGUUUCACCGUGUUCGCCAGGCUGGUCUCAAACUCCUGACCUCAGGUGAUCCGCCCACCUCGGCCUCUCAGAGUGCUGGGAUUACAGGCGUGAGCCACGAGGCAAGGCCCAGAUUUGCUUUUUGUCCUAAGAAGCUUGCUCUGGCUGUGGGCAGUGUGAAGGGGACAAGCUGGGAAACAGGUGGAUGAGGAGUUUGUUUGGUGAUGCAGGCAAGAGAUGAUGACAGUGCAACCUCAGCAUUGUGGAGAAAGCAAGAGGAUAGGUCUGAGGCAUCUGAGAGACAGGUUUGACUGGACUUAGGGAUGAGUUAGGUCUGGACAUGUGGUGACCAAGGACUCUGGUUUCUUCCUUCUUCCCAGCUGUAAGAUGGGUGGCGAUCCAUAUUUCUCUCCAGUUUGUCCCAUAAUUUAGAUCAGAGAGUUAACCAGAUUAAAGAAAAGUGUUAACAGCAGCUUCCAAUGUGACUGUGUGUCCCCUUUGGCAAACGGGGAAGUUAAGGCCUAGAGGAUUUAAAACACUUGCCUGGGGUCUUUCCCCUGAAGCACAGGCUCAGAGUGCUGAACUGUGCUGCACACAGUGUGGGGUGUGCUCUCCUCACUAUCUUGGCUGGGCCUGCUCCACAAGGGCAGAGCCUGUGGCUACCUGACCCCAGGAGGAGACUUCAGAGUGGAGAGCCAGCCAAGGACAUCCCAGUGACUGGCUGGCUCCUCAGCUAUGACCCUGAGUAACCUUGGGCCACCCAACAGGAAGCAGGGUGGGCCUGACUGCCAGGUUUAGCUGGGGUUGGGUAUUUAUCUCUCUGCGGCCUGUGGCCUGGGAACCCAGGAAAUUUCCCUUCCCUCAUUUCCCUGAUGGUGCCUGGGGAAGGGGGAGAGUAUGGUGCCAGGACAGCAUGCUAGAUUUGGGUGAGACAAGCCUGAGUUAGGAUCCUGGCUCUGCUGCAUGGUGGCGGUGUGGCCUUGGUUCAGGUCUCUGAAUUGGUAAGGGGUUCGGUGUGGUAUGGCUGGGACCACUUGCAACAGAACUGAGUUCAAAAUCCGGCUACUUUGCCAUUGACAACCGGGGCCACACAAGCUUUGGGUGCACCUUUGCAUAUGUAGAAAGGAAUCUUGAAGAAUACCGUAAACUUUCCCAUCUCAGCCACGCUUCUUCACCUGUAAAAUGGGAAUCAGGAUUUCCAUCUUUCCGGAAUGUGGUGAGGACUUCAAGAGGCUGUGCCUGUGAAAGGAAUAGGCAGCUCCACACUUCCCCAGCCUCCCAAAUUCCCAAGCAUGGCCUAUCCUACCUCCCCGAGGCCAUGACCAGACGCAUAAGGAACCUAGUACCAAACAAGAUAAUUGUUUGCCAGACCACAAGGCAAGUCGUCUGGAGAAGGAAACCCAGGGAAAGGUCAGAGAAUGAUUGGGUUGGAAGUCCUGAUACAGAUAGGGUGGUCAAGGAAGGCUUUUAUGAGGUGUCAUCUUAGCCAAGACCUAAGUAAUAAGGCGGACCCAGGUACAGGAAGCUCUGGGGACAGAGGCAUGAGCUGACAUGUUUGGAGGACUCCGUGUGACUAGAAUAGAGUGAGUACAGGGGACAGAGAGCGGUGGGGCAGACGAGCCUGUGCACAUGGGCCCUUGUGGGCCUAGGAGGUGUUUUUUGUUUUGUUUUGUUUUGUUUUGAGUCCCGGUCUCACUCUGUUGCCCAGGCUGUAGUGCAGUGGCAUGAUCUCAGCUCACUGCAACCUCUAGCAGGUGUUUAGAGUUUAUUCUAAGCCCCACGGGACAGCACUGGAGCAUGUGAGCAGGCAGAAGGGUGACAAGAUGCAAAUUAACAUUUUGUGUGUGUGUGUGUGUGUGUGUGUGUUUUGAGACUGAGUUUUGCUCUUGUUGCACAGGCUGGAGUGCAAUGGCGCGAUCUCGGCUCACUGCAACCUCUGCCUCCCGGGUUCAAGCGAUUCUCCUGCCUCAGCCUCACAAGUAGCUGAGAUUACAGGCAUGCGCCACCAUGCCCGGCUAAUUUUUUGUAUUUAAUAGAGACGGGUUUCACCAUGUUGGUCAGACGGGACUCAAACUCCUGACCUCAGGUGAUCCACCCGGCUUGGCCUCCCAAAGUGCUGGGAUUGCAGGCAUGCACCAUGCGCCUGGCCAAAUUAACUUUUUUUUUUUUUUUUUUUUUUUCAGACAGAGUUUUGCUCUUGUUGCCCAGGCUGGAGUGUAAUGGCUUGAUCUUGGCUCACCACAACCUCCACCUCCCAGGUUCAAGCGAUUCUCCUGCCUCAGUCUCCCAAGUAGCUGGGAUUAUAGGCAUGUGCCACCACGCCCGGCUAAUUUUGUAUUUUUAGUAGAGACGUGGUUUCUCCAUGUUGGUCAGGCUGGUCUCAAACUCCCGACCUCAGGUGAUCUGCCUGCCUCGGCCCAAAUUAACAUUUUUAAACACUCCUUCUGGCUACUGAGAAUGGAUUGAUUGGCAGGGGGCAAGAACAGAAGCAGGCAGACAGUGAGGAGGCAAUUGCAGCCAUCCCAGUGGGAGAUUGACCAGGGUAACCAGGGUGGACACAGAGCGAUGGCAAGAGAAAGGGAAUCCAUUUCAGAGGAAGCACUGACAGCACUUGCUGAGCAAUAAUAGUUAUGGAAGGUCGUGGUCAAAGCUCAAGAGCCCAGGAAGGAUGUACAGCCUUUUGAAUAUUCCCAGUUAUUUUGAUUUUGAUUGAAUGUGUCCCAUGGUUCUUGGAGUCGGGAGUUUAGGGAGUCUAAGCACUGGCUUAGGUGUGGGGAAGGAGUGGAGAGGAAUGAAGGAAUUCCAUGUGACUGCAGGCUCCAGAAUACAAUCACACCUGGAGAAAGUGGGAGGGCCUUAGAGAAUCCUUAUCCUUAUCUGGCCCUGGACAAACCUUGUGAUGCCAUUUCCUUAGCUCUGUCUCUCUUUAGAUCGUGAGCUUCACAGGGUCAGAUGCCUCUCCUAUAGAGUCCCCAUGUCCAGUACUGGGCCUGCCACGUAACUGAUGCUCCAAAAAUGGUGGUCAAAGGAAUGCAUGGUAGCUCACACCUGUAAUCCCAGCACUUUGGGAGGCCGAGGUGGUGGAUCACUUGAGCCCAGGAGUUCAAGACCAGCCUGGGCAACAUGGCGAGACCCCCCCAUCUCUACAAAAAAAUUAAAAAUUAGCUGGGUGUGGUGGUGUGCACCUGUGGUUCCAGCUACUCGGGAGGCUGAGGUGGGUGGAUAGCCUGAGCCCAAAAGGUCCAGGCUCUUCUGGUGAGCACAGCAAGACCCCG
rnacentral:lncRNA from 1 species